rnacentral:rRNA from 1 species
AGUGAACGCUGGCGGUAGGCCUAACACAUGCAAGUCGAACGGCAGCACAGUAAGAGCUUGCUCUUACGGGUGGCGAGUGGCGGACGGGUGAGGCAUACAUCGGAAUCUACUUUUUCGUGGGGGAUAACGUAGGGACACUUACGCUAAUACCGCAUACGACCUACGGGUGAAAGCAGGGGAUCUUCGGACCUUGCGCGAUUGAAUGAGCCGAUGUCGGAUUAGCUAGUUGGCGGGGUAAAGGCCCACCAAGGCGACGAUCCGUAGCUGGUCUGAGAGGAUGAUCAGCCACACUGGAACUGAGACACGGUCCAGACUCCUACGGGAGGCAGCAGUGGGGAAUCUUGGACAAUGGGCGCAAGCCUGAUCCAGCCAUACCGCGUGAGUGAAGAAGGCCUUCGGGUUGUAAAGCCCUUUUGUUGGGAAAGAAAAGCAGCAGGUUAAUACCCCGCUGUUCUGACGGUACCCAAAGAAUAAGCACCGGCUAACUUCGUG